CUCGCUGCGAAAUCCAAGUCAUUUUUUAUUUUGGCGUCAGAGAGACCUCAUGUAAGGGGUCGUGGUCGAUAUACCAUGAGGCGGCCGGUUGGCCACCGUUACCAGCCAUAUCAGAGUCAGAUGCCAUAUCAGAUGCCAUAGCCCCAGACGGGCGCAAACAUGAGGCCGUUCAUGAGCAGACCUCCUAGGAGGGCAAACGCCACAGCUACAAUGCCGGCCCAAAACGGGAUGGAAUAGAUGGUUUAAAAUUUACUGAGACACAAGGACCUACUGACUCUCCAACACAACCAGCAGUGUCAUCCUUUCGGAAAACGCCUUCGGCUAGUCGCAUUGACUGUAUCCGGGAUUCCCUUAUCCAGCAACGAUUUUCGUUGCAAACUGCUGAAUUCAUCCUCCAAUCAUGGGCGAAAGGAACCAAGAAACAGUAUGAAAGUGCUUGGAGCACAUGGUGUAUUUGGAAUAGUAUCAGGAAAAGUGAUCCCCUUCAGGCGUCUGAAGCAGUGACCUUGAAUUAUCUGUUCUAUUUGUUUAAACUAGGGAAGUCUAAUUCAGUAAUUAAUACACAUAAAGCUAUGUUACUUCAGACAUUAUUAUUUCUAGGUAACGUGUGGUGUAAAAGUUCAGUGUUAUUUCCUAGAUUUAUGAAGAGUGUUUUCCAAUAUCAACCAUUUAGUAACUUGGGAUGUCUCUGUUGUGUUAAAGUAUUUAAAGUCAUUAGGGCCUGUGUCUAAGUUACCUUUGAAAAUGUUGACAUCUAAGACGGUAGCCUUUAUUGCCUUGGCUACUGCGCCCAGAGCUCAGACUCUUGUUUCAAUGAAUGUUGAUAAUAUGUUAAUGGACUGGCAGUUGUGUUUACCUUUACUAACAUUUUGAAGACAUUCAGAAUGGGACAUUCGUUUUCUUUAAAAAUUGAACAUUUUAGUGAUGAAUCACUUUGUGCCAUGUAUACGCUUAUAACAUAUCUUGAUAGAACAAAGUCUUUAAGAAAAUCAAAUUUUGUUUUUGUGUCAUUUGUAACCUACAAUAGGGUAUCAACAAGUACUAUUGCUAGAUGGCUUAAGUGUGUAUUGCAACUUGCAGGUAUUGAUUCGCAUACAUUUAAAGCUCAUUCAUAUAGGAGCGCUUCCACUUCAACAGCUUUUUUAAAGGUUGUUCUUUAAAACAUAUUUUGAGUACAGCUGAUUAGAGCUCUGAUAAAACGUUCAGAAAGUUCUAUUUAAGGUGUCUACUUAAAAGUGGUAGAAAUGUGUCCUUCAAUGAGGCAGUUUUGUCAGGAAAUUGAGAUCAUACUUUAUUGUAUGCAUUUUGUGUAUUAAAUUGUUGUACAUGUGUGAAAUGUAUCGUUGAUACUUAAUUAAAUGAUGAAUACAUGGGUU